AUUGAACGCUGGCGGCAUGCUUUACACAUGCAAGUCGAACGGUAACAGGCCGCAAGGUGCUGACGAGUGGCAAACGGGUGAGUAAUGCAUCGGAACGUGCCCAGUCGUGGGGGAUAACGCAGCGAAAGCUGUGCUAAUACCGCAUACGAUCUAUGGAUGAAAGCGGGGGACAGUAAGGCCUCGCGCGAUUGGAGCGGCGGAGGUCAGCUUAGCUAGUUGGUGGGGUAAAGGCCCACCAAGGCGACGAUCUGUAGCUGGUCUGAGAGGACGACCAGCAACACUGGGACUGAGACACGGCCCAGACUCCUACGGGAGGCAGCAGUGGGGAAUUUUGGACAAUGGGCGCAAGCCUGAUCCAGCAAUGCCGCGUGCAGGAGGAAGGCCUUCGGGUUGUAAACUGCUUUUGUACGGAACGAAACGGUCUGGGUUAAUACCCUGGGCUAAUGACGGUACCGUAAGAAUAAGCACCGGCUAACUACGUGCCAGCAGCCGCGGUAA
rnacentral:rRNA from 1 species